CCCGAUUUUACCCGCCCGUCCCGAUUCGAGUUGGACCGAAAAUUAUUCAUCAAAAUAUUCUCCGUCAAGCGGCCCACAAGCGCGUGUACGGUUUUCCGUUUUGUUUUUCGUACAAGGGUAUUUUAGGUUAGCUCUAUGUACACCGCGGGACAGUUGUUCGUAUAAAAACGUUAUUAAAAUCCAUUAUUAUUUUUAUUUUUUUUUUCGGUCAUACGAGUUUGAUUGAGACAAACAGCGCGACAACGGACUAGGCCACACGUUUUCCGCGUUUGAGUUAAUGGCGUCAUAACACAACAACCGCACGCCGUAAAAUUCAAUCCGUAAACGGAUGACCGGGCCGUCUAUUCAUUUUACAAUAAUAUUCACUAAACGACAGCCGCACACUCGCCGCUAUUGCACAUAUUAUUAUCGGCAAUAAUAGAGAUGGAGAACGGCGGCGGAACGAUAGUGAACGGGAUAUAGGAAUAUAGUCCGUUAUCGCGCCGAAGGCCUCGACUAUAACAAUAAUAUCAUAAAAACUGUAUCGACAAUAUUAACAAAAAAAAAA